GGUUAAGCGACUAAGCGUACACGGUGGAUGCCCUGGCAGUCAGAGGCGAUGAAGGACGUGCUAAUCUGCGAAAAGCGUCGGUAAGGUGAUAUGAACCGUUAUAACCGGCGAUGUCCGAAUGGGGAAACCCAGUGUGAUUCGUCACACUAUCGUUAACUGAAUACAUAGGUUAACGAGGCGAACCGGGGGAACUGAAACAUCUAAGUACCCCGAGGAAAAGAAAUCAACCGAGAUUCCCCCAGUAGCGGCGAGCGAACGGGGAGCAGCCCAGAGUCUGAAUCAGCUUGUGUGUUAGUGGAACGGUCUGGAAAGUCCGACGGUACAGGGUGAUAGUCCCGUACACCAAAAUGCACAGGCUGUGAACUCGAAGAGUAGGGCGGGACACGUGGUAUCCUGUCUGAAUAUGGGGGGACCAUCCUCCAAGGCUAAAUACUCCUGACUGACCGAUAGUGAACCAGUACCGUGAGGGAAAGGCGAAAAGAACCCCGGCGAGGGGAGUGAAAAAGAACCUGAAACCGUGUACGUACAAGCAGUGGGAGCACCUUCGGGUGUGACUGCGUACCUUUUGUAUAAUGGGUCAGCGACUUAUAUUCUGUAGCAAGGUUAACCGUAUAGGGGAGCCGCAGGGAAACCGAGUCUUAACUGGGCGUUAAGUUGCAGGGUAUAGACCCGAAACCCGGUGAUCUAGCCAUGGGCAGGUUGAAGGUUGGGUAACACUAACUGGAGGACCGAACCGACUAAUGUUGAAAAAUUAGCGGAUGACUUGUGGCUGGGGGUGAAAGGCCAAUCAAACCGGGAGAUAGCUGGUUCUCCCCGAAAGCUAUUUAGGUAGCGCCUCGUGAACUCAUCUUCGGGGGUAGAGCACUGUUUCGGCUAGGGGGUCAUCCCGACUUACCAACCCGAUGCAAACUACGAAUACCGAAGAAUGUUAUCACGGGAGACACACGGCGGGUGCUAACGUCCGUCGUGAAGAGGGAAACAACCCAGACCGCCAGCUAAGGUCCCAAAGUCAUGGUUAAGUGGGAAACGAUGUGGGAAGGCACAGACAGCCAGGAUGUUGGCUUAGAAGCAGCCAUCAUUUAAAGAAAGCGUAAUAGCUCACUGGUCGAGUCGGCCUGCGCGGAAGAUGUAACGGGGCUAAACCAUGCACCGAAGCUGCGGCAGCGACACUAUGUGUUGUUGGGUAGGGGAGCGUUCUGUAAGCCUGCGAAGGUGACCUGUGAGGGUUGCUGGAGGUAUCAGAAGUGCGAAUGCUGACAUAAGUAACGAUAAAGCGGGUGAAAAGCCCGCUCGCCGGAAGACCAAGGGUUCCUGUCCAACGUUAAUCGGGGCAGGGUGAGUCGACCCCUAAGGCGAGGCCGAAAGGCGUAGUCGAUGGGAAACAGGUUAAUAUUCCUGUACUUGGUGUUACUGCGAAGGGGGGACGGAGAAGGCUAUGUUAGCCGGGCGACGGUUGUCCCGGUUUAAGCAUGUAGGCUGAUUGUCCAGGCAAAUCCGGAUAAUCAAGGCUGAGGUGUGAUGACGAGGCACUACGGUGCUGAAGUAACAAAUGCCCUGCUUCCAGGAAAAGCCUCUAAGCAUCAGGUAACAUUAAAUCGUACCCCAAACCGACACAGGUGGUCAGGUAGAGAAUACCAAGGCGCUUGAGAGAACUCGGGUGAAGGAACUAGGCAAAAUGGUGCCGUAACUUCGGGAGAAGGCACGCUGGUGUGUAGGUGAAGCCCCUGCGGGUGGAGCUGAGACCAGUCGAAGAUACCAGCUGGCUGCAACUGUUUAUUAAAAACACAGCACUGUGCAAACACGAAAGUGGACGUAUACGGUGUGACGCCUGCCCGGUGCCGGAAGGUUAAUUGAUGGGGUUAUCCGUAAGGAGAAGCUCUUGAUCGAAGCCCCGGUAAACGGCGGCCGUAACUAUAACGGUCCUAAGGUAGCGAAAUUCCUUGUCGGGUAAGUUCCGACCUGCACGAAUGGCGUAAUGAUGGCCAGGCUGUCUCCACCCGAGACUCAGUGAAAUUGAACUCGCUGUGAAGAUGCAGUGUACCCGCGGCAAGACGGAAAGACCCCGUGAACCUUUACUAUAGCUUGACACUGAACAUUGAGCCUUGAUGUGUAGGAUAGGUGGGAGGCUUUGAAGCGUGGACGCCAGUCUGCGUGGAGCCAACCUUGAAAUACCACCCUUUAAUGUUUGAUGUUCUAACGUUGGCCCCUGACCGGGGUUGCGGACAGUGUCUGGUGGGUAGUUUGACUGGGGCGGUCUCCUCCCAAAGCGUAACGGAGGAGCACGAAGGUUAGCUAAUCCUGGUCGGACAUCAGGAGGUUAGUGCAAUGGCAUAAGCUAGCUUGACUGCGAGCGUGACGGCGCGAGCAGGUGCGAAAGCAGGUCAUAGUGAUCCGGUGGUUCUGAAUGGAAGGGCCAUCGCUCAACGGAUAAAAGGUACUCCGGGGAUAACAGGCUGAUACCGCCCAAGAGUUCAUAUCGACGGCGGUGUUUGGCACCUCGAUGUCGGCUCAUCACAUCCUGGGGCUGAAGUAGGUCCCAAGGGUAUGGCUGUUCGCCAUUUAAAGUGGUACGCGAGCUGGGUUUAGAACGUCGUGAGACAGUUCGGUCCCUAUCUGCCGUGGGCGCUGGAGAAUUGAGGGGGGCUGCUCCUAGUACGAGAGGACCGGAGUGGACGCAUCACUGGUGUUCGGGUUGUCAUGCCAAUGGCACUGCCCGGUAGCUAAAUGCGGAAGAGAUAAGUGCUGAAAGCAUCUAAGCACGAAACUUGCCCCGAGAUGAGUUCUCCCUGAGACUUUAAGUCUCCUGAAGGAACGUUAAAGACGAUGACGUUGAUAGGCCGGGUGUGUAAGCGCAGCGAUGCGUUGAGCUAACCGGUACUAAUGAACCGUGAGGCUUAACCUU
rnacentral:rRNA from 1 species